AAAUUGAAGAGUUUGAUCAUGGCUCAGAUUGAACGCUGGCGGCAGGCCUAACACAUGCAAGUCGAGCGGUAGCACAGAGAGCUUGCUCUCGGGUGACGAGCGGCGGACGGGUGAGUAAUGUCUGGGAAACUGCCUGAUGGAGGGGGAUAACUACUGGAAACGGUAGCUAAUACCGCAUAACGUCGCAAGACCAAAGUGGGGGACCUUCGGGCCUCAUGCCAUCAGAUGUGCCCAGAUGGGAUUAGCUAGUAGGUGGGGUAAUGGCUCACCUAGGCGACGAUCCCUAGCUGGUCUGAGAGGAUGACCAGCCACACUGGAACUGAGACACGGUCCAGACUCCUACGGGAGGCAGCAGUGGGGAAUAUUGCACAAUGGGCGCAAGCCUGAUGCAGCCAUGCCGCGUGUGUGAAGAAGGCCUUCGGGUUGUAAAGCACUUUCAGCGGGGAGGAAGGCGAUAAGGUUAAUAACCUUGUCGAUUGACGUUACCCGCAGAAGAAGCACCGGCUAACUCCGUGCCAGCAGCCGCGGUAAUACGGAGGGUGCAAGCGUUAAUCGGAAUUACUGGGCGUAAAGCGCACGCAGGCGGUCUGUCAAGUCGGAUGUGAAAUCCCCGGGCUUAACCUGGGAACUGCAUUCGAAACUGGCAGGCUAGAGUCUUGUAGAGGGGGGUAGAAUUCCAGGUGUAGCGGUGAAAUGCGUAGAGAUCUGGAGGAAUACCGGUGGCGAAGGCGGCCCCCUGGACAAAGACUGACGCUCAGGUGCGAAAGCGUGGGGAGCAAACAGGAUUAGAUACCCUGGUAGUCCACGCCGUAAACGAUGUCGAUUUGGAGGUUGUGCCCUUGAGGCGUGGCUUCCGGAGCUAACGCGUUAAAUCGACCGCCUGGGGAGUACGGCCGCAAGGUUAAAACUCAAAUGAAUUGACGGGGGCCCGCACAAGCGGUGGAGCAUGUGGUUUAAUUCGAUGCAACGCGAAGAACCUUACCUGGUCUUGACAUCCACAGAACUUUCCAGAGAUGGAUUGGUGCCUUCGGGAACUGUGAGACAGGUGCUGCAUGGCUGUCGUCAGCUCGUGUUGUGAAAUGUUGGGUUAAGUCCCGCAACGAGCGCAACCCUUAUCCUUUGUUGCCAGCGGUUAGGCCGGGAACUCAAAGGAGACUGCCAGUGAUAAACUGGAGGAAGGUGGGGAUGACGUCAAGUCAUCAUGGCCCUUACGACCAGGGCUACACACGUGCUACAAUGGCAUAUACAAAGAGAAGCGACCUCGCGAGAGCAAGCGGACCUCAUAAAGUAUGUCGUAGUCCGGAUUGGAGUCUGCAACUCGACUCCAUGAAGUCGGAAUCGCUAGUAAUCGUAGAUCAGAAUGCUACGGUGAAUACGUUCCCGGGCCUUGUACACACCGCCCGUCACACCAUGGGAGUGGGUUGCAAAAGAAGUAGGUAGCUUAACCUUCGGGAGGGCGCUUACCACUUUGUGAUUCAUGACUGGGGUGAAGUCGUAACAAGGUAACCGUAGGGGAACCUGCGGUUGGAUCACCUCCUUA
rnacentral:rRNA from 1 species